GACGAACGCUGGCGGCGUGCCUAAUACAUGCCAGUAGAACGCUGAAGGAGGAGCUUGCUUCUCUGGAUGAGUUGCGAACGGGUGAGUAACGCGUAGGUAACCUGCCUGGUAGCGGGGGAUAACUAUUGGAAACGAUAGCUAAUACCGCAUAAUAGCAGUUGUUGCAUGAUAACUGUUUGAAAGGUGCAAUUGCACCACUACCAGAUGGACCUGCGUUGUAUUAGCUAGUUGGUGGGGUAACGGCUCACCAAGGCGACGAUACAUAGCCGACCUGAGAGGGUGAUCGGCCACACUGGGACUGAGACACGGCCCAGACUCCUACGGGAGGCAGCAGUAGGGAAUCUUCGGCAAUGGACGGAAGUCUGACCGAGCAACGCCGCGUGAGUGAAGAAGGGUUUCGGAUCGUAAAGCUCUGUUGUAAGAGAAGAACGAGUGUGAGAGUGGAAAGUUCACACUGUGACGGUAUCUUACCAGAAAGGGACGGCUAACUACGUG
rnacentral:rRNA from 1 species